UUAAGAAAAAUUUUAUAUAAACAAAAAAAAGUAAAAAUACUACCAAAAUAAAAAUAAAAAUAUCUUAGGUUGGGGCAACCAAGAAGAAAAAAAAACCUUCAAUAAACAACAAAAAUAAACAAAUUUAAAAUUAUUAAAUAAUCUACAAGACCCAGUAAAAGCUGAUAAAAGAAAAAAGUUACCGCAGGGAUAACAGCGUUAUUCUCUUUGAGAGUUCUUAUUGACAAGAGAGUUUGCGACCUCGAUGUUGGACCGGGGCACCCCAGGGAUGCAGAAGUCCCUAAAGGUAAGUCUGUUCGACCUUUAAAGCC
rnacentral:rRNA from 1 species